rnacentral:rRNA from 1 species
UUAAGCGACUAAGCGUACACGGUGGAUGCCCUGGCAGUCAGAGGCGAUGAAGGACGUGCUAAUCUGCGAAAAGCGUCGGUAAGGUGAUAUGAACCGUUACAGCCGGCGAUGUCCGAAUGGGGAAACCCAGUGUGAUUCGUCACACUAUCGUUAACUGAAUACAUAGGUUAACGAGGCGAACCGGGGGAACUGAAACAUCUAAGUACCCCGAGGAAAAGAAAUCAACCGAGAUUCCCCCAGUAGCGGCGAGCGAACGGGGAGCAGCCCAGAGUCUGAAUCAGCUUGUGUGUUAGUGGAACGGUCUGGAAAGUCCGACGGUACAGGGUGAUAGUCCCGUACACCAAAAUGCACAGGYUGUGAACUCGAAGAGUAGGGCGGGACACGUGGUAUCCUGUCUGAAUAUGGGGGGACCAUCCUCCAAGGCUAAAUACUCCUGACUGACCGAUAGUGAACCAGUACCGUGAGGGAAAGGCGAAAAGAACCCCGGCGAGGGGAGUGAAAAAGAACCUGAAACCGUGUACGUACAAGCAGUGGGAGCACCUUCGGGUGUGACUGCGUACCUUUUGUAUAAUGGGUCAGCGACUUAUAUUCUGUAGCAAGGUUAACCGUAUAGGGGAGCCGCAGGGAAACCGAGUCUUAACUGGGCGUUAAGUUGCAGGGUAUAGACCCGAAACCCGGUGAUCUAGCCAUGGGCAGGUUGAAGGUUGGGUAACACUAACUGGAGGACCGAACCGACUAAUGUUGAAAAAUUAGCGGAUGACUUGUGGCUGGGGGUGAAAGGCCAAUCAAACCGGGAGAUAGCUGGUUCUCCCCGAAAGCUAUUUAGGUAGCGCCUCGUGAAYUCAUCUUCGGGGGUAGAGCACUGUUUCGGCUAGGGGGUCAUCCCGACUUACCAACCCGAUGCAAACUACGAAUACCGAAGAAUGUUAUCACGGGAGACACACGGCGGGUGCUAACGUCCGUCGUGAAGAGGGAAACAACCCAGACCGCCAGCUAAGGUCCCAAAGUCAUGGUUAAGUGGGAAACGAUGUGGGAAGGCACAGACAGCCAGGAUGUUGGCUUAGAAGCAGCCAUCAUUUAAAGAAAGCGUAAUAGCUCACUGGUCGAGUCGGCCUGCGCGGAAGAUGUAACGGGGCUAAACCAUGCACCGAAGCUGCGGCAGCGACACUAUGUGUUGUUGGGUAGGGGAGCGUUCUGUAAGCCUGCGAAGGUGWSCUGUGAGGSWUGCUGGAGGUAUCAGAAGUGCGAAUGCUGACAUAAGUAACGAUAAAGCGGGUGAAAAGCCCGCUCGCCGGAAGACCAAGGGUUCCUGUCCAACGUUAAUCGGGGCAGGGUGAGUCGACCCCUAAGGCGAGGCCGAAAGGCGUAGUCGAUGGGAAACAGGUUAAUAUUCCUGUACUUGGUGUUACUGCGAAGGGGGGACGGAGAAGGCUAUGUUAGCCGGGCGACGGUUGUCCCGGUUUAAGCAUGUAGGCUGGUURUCCAGGCAAAUCCGGAUAAUCAAGGCUGAGGUGUGAUGACGAGGCACUACGGUGCUGAAGUAACAAAUGCCCUGCUUCCAGGAAAAGCCUCUAAGCAUCAGGUAACAUYAAAUCGUACCCCAAACCGACACAGGUGGUCAGGUAGAGAAUACCAAGGCGCUUGAGAGAACUCGGGUGAAGGAACUAGGCAAAAUGGUGCCGUAACUUCGGGAGAAGGCACGCUGGUGUGUAGGUGAAGUCCCUGCGGAUGGAGCUGAGACCAGUCGAAGAUACCAGCUGGCUGCAACUGUUUAUUAAAAACACAGCACUGUGCAAACACGAAAGUGGACGUAUACGGUGUGACGCCUGCCCGGUGCCGGAAGGUUAAUUGAUGGGGUUAUCCGUAAGGAGAAGCUCUUGAUCGAAGCCCCGGUAAACGGCGGCCGUAACUAUAACGGUCCUAAGGUAGCGAAAUUCCUUGUCGGGUAAGUUCCGACCUGCACGAAUGGCGUAAUGAUGGCCAGGCUGUCUCCACCCGAGACUCAGUGAAAUUGAACUCGCUGUGAAGAUGCAGUGUACCCGCGGCAAGACGGAAAGACCCCGUGAACCUUUACUAUAGCUUGACACUGAACAUUGAGCCUUGAUGUGUAGGAUAGGUGGGAGGCUUUGAAGCGUGGACGCCAGUCUGCGUGGAGCCAACCUUGAAAUACCACCCUUUAAUGUUUGAUGUUCUAACGUUGGCCCCUUAYCGGGGUUGCGGACAGUGUCUGGUGGGUAGUUUGACUGGGGCGGUCUCCUCCCAAAGCGUAACGGAGGAGCACGAAGGUUAGCUAAUCCUGGUCGGACAUCAGGAGGUUAGUGCAAUGGCAUAAGCUAGCUUGACUGCGAGCGUGACGGCGCGAGCAGGUGCGAAAGCAGGUCAUAGUGAUCCGGUGGUUCUGAAUGGAAGGGCCAUCGCUCAACGGAUAAAAGGUACUCCGGGGAUAACAGGCUGAUACCGCCCAAGAGUUCAUAUCGACGGCGGUGUUUGGCACCUCGAUGUCGGCUCAUCACAUCCUGGGGCUGAAGUAGGUCCCAAGGGUAUGGCUGUUCGCCAUUUAAAGUGGUACGCGAGCUGGGUUUAGAACGUCGUGAGACAGUUCGGUCCCUAUCUGCCGUGGGCGCUGGAGAAUUGAGGGGGGCUGCUCCUAGUACGAGAGGACCGGAGUGGACGCAUCACUGGUGUUCGGGUUGUCAUGCCAAUGGCACUGCCCGGUAGCUAAAUGCGGAAGAGAUAAGUGCUGAAAGCAUCUAAGCACGAAACUUGCCCCGAGAUGAGUUCUCCCUGAGACUUUAAGUCUCCUGAAGGAACGUUAAAGACGAUGACGUUGAUAGGCCGGGUGUGUAAGCGCAGCGAUGCGUUGAGCUAACCGGUACUAAUGAACCGUGAGGCUUAACCU